rnacentral:rRNA from 1 species
UGGGGAAUUUUGCACAAUGGGGGAAACCCUGAUGCAGCGACGCCGCGUGAUUUAGAAGGCCUUCGGGUUGUAAAAAUCUUUUCUAUGGGAAGAAAAUGACAGUACCAUAGGAAUAAGGACCGGCUAAUUACGUGCCAGCAGCCGCGGUAAUACGUAAGGUCCGAGCGUUGUCCGGAAUCAUUGGGCGUAAAGGGUACGUAGGCGGGUAAGCAAGUUAGAAGUGAAAUCCUAUAGCUCAACUAUAGUAAGCUUUUAAAACUGCUGAUCUUGAGGUAUGGAAGGGAAAGUGGAAUUCCUAGUGUAGCGGUGAAAUGCGCAGAUAUUAGGAGGAAUACCGGUGGCGAAGGCGACUUUCUGGCCAUAACCUGACGCUGAGGUACGAAAGCGUGGGUAGCAAACAGG